rnacentral:rRNA from 1 species
CCCUUAGUUAUCCUAGGCCGCACGCGUGUUACAAUGACUUUUUCAGCAAGUUCUCCUGGCCCGAGAGGGUGCGGGUAAUCUGAAAUCAAAGUCGUGUUAGGGAUAGAUCUUUGCAAUUAUAGAUCUUGAACGAGGAUUUUGUAGUAGGUGCGCGUCAUCACCGCGUACUGACUGCGUCCCUGCUGUUUGUACACACCGCCCGUCGCUUCUACCGAUUGAAUGUUCCGGUGAGUAAUUUGGACCCGGGGGGGCUUGCUCCUCUGGGGAAGUUUCGCAAACCUAUGCAUUUAGAGGAAGAAGAAGUCGUAACA